rnacentral:rRNA from 1 species
GACAGAGGGUGCAACCGUUGCUCGGAAUUACUGGGCGUAAAGCGCGUGUAGGCGGGAAGAUAAGUCGGGUGUGAAAUCCCUGGGCUCAACCUAGGAACUGCAUUCGAAACUGUCUUUCUGGAGUGAUGGAGAGGAAAGCGGAAUUCCCGGUGUAGAGGUGAAAUUCGUAGAUAUCGGGAGGAACACCAGUGGCGAAGGCGGCUUUCUGGCCAUCAACUGACGCUGAGACGCGAAAGCGUGGGGAGCAAACAGG